rnacentral:rRNA from 1 species
UACGUAGGGGGCAAGCGUUGUCCGGAAUCAUUGGGCGUAAAGCGCGUGUAGGCGGCUCAGUAAGCCCGCUCUGAAAGCCCGGGGCUCAACCCCGGGAGGCGGGUGGAUACUGCUGAGCUCGAGUCCGGAAGAGGAGUGUGGAAUUCCUGGUGUAGCGGUGAAAUGCGCAGAUAUCAGGAGGAACACCAAUGGCGAAGGCAGCACUCUGGGACGGUACUGACGCUGAGGCGCGAAAGCUAGGGGAGCAAACGGG